rnacentral:rRNA from 1 species
GUUGUGGUUAAAAAGCUCGUAGUUGGAUCUCAACAGCCUUGNAAGCGGUUAACUUUGUAGUUUUACUGCUUUAUAGGCUGUGCUUUUGCUGGAGGUUUAGGGGUGCUCUUGAUCGAGUGUCUCUGGAUGCCAGCAGGUUUACUUUGAAAAAAUUAGAGUGCUCAAAGCAGGCUAAAAUGCCUGAAUAUUCGUGCAUGGAAUAAUAGAAUAGGAUGUCGAUCCUAUUUUGUUGGUUUUCGGGACUCGACAUAAUGAUAAAUAGGGACAGUCGGGGGCAUUUGUAUUCAAACGACAGAGGUGAAAUUCUUGGACCGUUUGAAGACAAACUACUGCGAAAGCAUUUGCCAAGAAUGUUUUCAUUAAUCAAGAACGAAAGUUAGAGGUUCGAAGGCGAUUAGAUACCGCCCUAGUUCUAACCAUAAACGAUGCCAGCUAGCGAUCUGCCUGCGUUUUUACUGUAGACUGGGCAGGAAGCUUCCGGG